rnacentral:rRNA from 1 species
CACGGGGGUUGCGAGCGUUGUCCGGAAUUACUAGGCGUAAAGGGCAGGAAGGCGGAUCCAUAAGUUUAUCGUUUAAGGCGUCGGCUUAACCGGCGUAGGGCGGUAGAUACUGUGGAUCUGGAAUGCGGUUGGGGAAGACAGAAUUCCUGGUGUAGCGGUGGAAUGCGCAGAGAUCAGGAGGAAUACCGAAGGCGAAGGCAGUCUUCCAAGCCGUUAUUGACGCUCAACUGCGAAGGUGUGGGUAUCCAACAGGAUUAGAUACCCGGGUAGUCCCUGAGCGGGCU